GCCCUCAAAGAAUGAAACUCAAAACGCAGAUGAGGUAAAAGAAGAAACUUCUAAAUUAAAGUGGAGCGACCCAGGGACAAGUCUGGUUUGGGUUAAAGAUUAUGGAUGGUUAACUUUGUGUAACGUGUUUGGACAAGCAAGUUUAGGUUUUAGGCAAGCGACUUCAGGUAUUAGGCAAGCGAGUUUAGCCAAGCGAGUACAGGCAAGCGAGUCAAGCUAAGCGAGUUUAGGUUUUAUGCAAGCGAGUUUAGGUAAGAGAGUCAAGUUACUUUAGGCCUCACUUUAUUUGCGGUUAAAUUGCGGCAUUAGGUUUAGAAAGAAGGUUAAGAUCCAGGCUCAGGUUUGCUUCCAGCCUCGUCCCUCUAGUCGCUCC